AUGAGUACAGACAAAUGGUAAAGAAUCAGGGUGACAGAGACUAUUCCUGCUCACCCAAUCCCCGUGGCUCCUUAUGAGUUCCAGCCUCACCUGCAGUUGGAGGGUUGGGAACCUACAACCAGGUUCUGACAGUGGGAUGUGGGUAAAAAUUAUGUAAGCCAGUUCCAAGCCUUGCCCUUAAAAAUACCCUGUGACACUGUCAUGGGGGUCCCCAGUGUACUCCCAUGUUUGGAGGUGUUCUACAAGGACUCAUGAGAUACAAAAUAUACUUGUGGUCAUGACUAAGAUUUAUCAGUGACACAGUAAAUACUCAGCAGCAGGUCAUAAGGGAAAAAGACACAGGUGCAGUCUGGAGGAAUCCGCGUGCAGGCUUACUCAUGUUCCUUUCCUCCUGGAGGGAUCACAGGGAGCUCAUGCUUCCACCAGCAACAGAAAGGCAGCAACAUGGGUGUGAUGCUUCUGUCAAGGGAGCCAUUAGGGGCUCGAUGCCUAUGUUUUUAUUGGGACUGGUUCACAGAGGCACCCAAGCCCACUGAAAAUCUAGUCUUCCAGAAGGAAAUCCGUGUUCAGCAUAAACUGUGUUGUUUGCACGAACAGUCUAGGCACAAAGAGCCACCUUUUUCAGCUAGGAAAGUUUCCAUCAAAUUUGCUGGUUACCACCAAAUUCCCGGAUACCAGCCGAAGGUCAUCCUCACAGGUGGUGCUCUCUAAGCACAGCUGUCUCUGGCCUGCUGUGUAAGCUCUUCUCUGCACAGCCCCUUCAGCUCUCUGUUCCAUGCCUUGCUGAACUUGGAAAGUACCUGUUGCAGGUUGCCUGAUUACAAUAUGGAAGCAGCCUGGCUCACUCGAUCAUAAUUUGAUGGGGAAACAUUGAAGAAAGCUGUUCAUGCGCAAAGGGCUUUGCGGUCAUGGGAAACAGAAUUUUACAGAGUAAAUCUCUGAGAUUUUAGGAUUUGUUCUGUUUUCUGUAGCAUGGCUGACCUUGUCUAAUAGAGUUAGUAUCU
rnacentral:lncRNA from 1 species